UACGUAGGGGGCAAGCGUUGUCCGGAAUCAUUGGGCGUAAAGAGCGUGUAGGCGGUCCGUUAAGUCGGCUGUGAAAGUCCAGGGCUCAACCCUGGGAUGCCGGCCGAUACUGGAGGACUAGAGUCCGGAAGAGGUGAGUGGAAUUCCCGGUGUAGCGGUGAAAUGCGCAGAUAUCGGGAGGAACACCAAUGGCGAAGGCAGCUCACUGGGACGGUACUGACGCUGAGGCGCGAAAGCGUGGGGAGCGAACAGG
rnacentral:rRNA from 1 species